AGUGAACGCUGGCGGUAGGCCUAACACAUGCAAGUCGAACGGCAGCACAGUAAGAGCUUGCUCUUACGGGUGGCGAGUGGCGGACGGGUGAGGAAUACAUCGGAAUCUACUUUUUCGUGGGGGAUAACGUAGGGAAACUUACGCUAAUACCGCAUACGACCUACGGGUGAAAGCAGGGGAUCUUCGGACCUUGCGCGAUUGAAUGAGCCGCUGUCGGAUUAGCUAGUUGGCGGGGUAAAGGCCCACCAAGGCGACGAUUCGUAGCUGGUCUGAGAGGAUGAUCGGCCACACUGGAACUGAGACACGGUCCAGACUCCUACGGGAGGCAGCAGUGGGGAAUAUUGGACAAUGGGCGCAAGCCUGAUCCAGCCAUACCGCGUGGGUGAAGAAGGCCUUCGGGUUGUAAAGCCCUUUUGUUGGGAAAGAAAAGCAGCAGGUUAAUACCCCGCUGUUCUGACGGUACCCAAAGAAUAAGCACCGGCUAACUUCGUG
rnacentral:rRNA from 1 species